rnacentral:rRNA from 1 species
GAUGAACGCUAGCUACAGGCUUAACACAUGCAAGUCGAGGGGCAGCAUUAGGUAGCAAUACUGAGAUGGCGACCGGCGCACGGGUGCGUAACGCGUAUCCAACUUUCCCGUUACUCUGGGAUAGCCUUCCGAAAGGGAGAUUAAUACCGGAUGGUGUUGAAAAUUCGCGUGUUUUUUCAACUAAAGAUUUAUCGGUAACGGAUAGGGAUGCGUGACAUUAGGUAGAUGGCGGGGUAACGGCCCACCAUGCCUACGAUGUCUAGGGGUUCUGAGAGGAAGGUCCCCCACACUGGGACUGAGACACGGUCCAGACUCCUACGGGAGGCAGCAGUGAGGAAUAUUGGUCAAUGGUCGGAAGACUGAACCAGCCCAGUAGCGUGAAGGAUGAAGGUUCUAUGGAUUGUAAACUUCUUUUAUAUAGGAAUAAAACCUCCCACGUGUGGGAGCUUGUAUGUACUAUAUGAAUAAGCAUCGGCUAACUCCGUGCCAGCAGCCGCGGUAAGAC